GCGCUGACCGGCCGGCGACCGGCGCGGAGGGCGCCCGCUACGGCCGGGCGCCCACGCCCGGGCGCAGGCCCGGCCGCUUGGUCGCCUCGAGCGGCGGCGUG
rnacentral:tRNA from 1 species